GCUUGUGGGCGUUGUCGACCGACACCAAUAGCUGCUUGGGAUGUUUUGGAGUGGAUUUAUUGAUUGUGUAAGGGUGUACACACCCCAGUGUAAGGUUAGGGGUGAGGGUGUACACACCCCAGUGUAAGGUCAGGGGUGAGGGUGUGUGCACUGACCAGGGGGAAGGCUGCCUGCUCCCUGGAGUACGGUCGGUCCCAGCUGGAAGACGAGAUGGUGGCCAGG